UAACUCUGGUCUCUCUUCAAUUGUAGAAUAAAUCUUUCGCCUUCUACUGAAGAUUUCUGUGGAGAAGGACACUCUAAUGAGUUUGGCACACUUCUCUGCACGCCAGCCCUCCGUAUAGCACUU